UACGGAGGGUGCGAGCGUUGUCCGGAUUUACUGGGCGUAAAGAGCGCGUAGGCGGAAGCUUAAGCGGUGCCUGAAAGCCCCCGGCUCAACCGGGGAGGGUGGUGCCGAACUGGGCUUCUUGAGGGCGAUAGAGGAGAGUGGAAUUCCGGGUGUAGCGGUGAAAUGCGUAGAGAUCCGGAGGAACACCAGUGGCGCAGGCGGCUCUCUGGGUCGGCCCUGACGCUGAGGCGCGAAAGCGUGGGGAGCGAACGGG
rnacentral:rRNA from 1 species